UGAAUUAUGCACCACCACCUGCAUAAUGAUGCACCACCGUUGUUACUUUGUACACCGACGUGCAUGAAUCGUACACGAUCGUUGCCAUUUUAGCAACUACCGUGUAUGAAUCAUGCACCACCGUUGUCAUUUUUUUUACUCGUGUGCAAUCGGCUGCAUAUUUACCAUUUUUUCCGUGUUAUUGAAAGAGAAAGGACGCAUUGUGCAAAAAAUUUAUUGAAAAUGAAUAAUAAUUCGCAAGAUCCUCAAAAUAUCAUUGGUGAGUUGUUAGAAAUCGAUGGCAAUAUUGUUGUGGUUCGCGAUACAAACCAUUGCAGCAGUCAAGAUGCGGAAAACAAUGAGGACGAUUAUAUGUUAAGGGAGUUCUUAAAAGGAAUAAAUAUGGAGUCGCUUUUUGAACAAUUAAAAGGUAAGUAAAUAAAAAUGAAUUUUUCAGUUAAUCAGUGUAAUUAACAAAGAAUUUUCUUUUUUGUUCUUUUAGCAUCACAUGUAACAUUUCGCAGCUUGCAGUACUUGAAAAAAGAAGAUUUAAAGGAAGCAGUGCCACCAUUGGGACUGCGUGUUGAAUUCAGAGAAAAGCUCUUUGCUUGGAAAAAACGAAAGCUCGGGAUUGAUGACGAAACUAUGUCAGUUCCAUCUAAAAUAGGUGAAUGGUGGAAACGCAACGAGACACCUGCAAGUACUCCUGGUACUCCCGACACUACAGGUUCGAACUGCUCAAAAGCCAAAGGAAUUUUGUCAGAGGAUCUAACGGAAUUGUUAACACAUACCUCGAAGGGGAAACUAGCGCUUGAAUGUAGUAGCGUUAAUAAGAAAUUAAGUGACGAGCAAAGAGAUGAUAUAAUUAAUAUAAUUAUUGAAGAUAUUUUAACCAACAAUGUUACUCUUUACACUCAAGACUAUAUGCGCAUAUUGGAUGAAAUUUGUUCCGUUUUUCCUCUUGAAAACGAAAUGAGGGAUUAUUAUUACAUUUCAAGAAAAGGAAAGAACAACGCAAGCGGAAAACUUUAUGCCAAGUAUAGAAACAAGAAGUCCAAAAGAAUAAAGCUUUUGAUUUCCGAGCCUAGCACAAGCAAAGCAGCAACUCACACAUCUCCUAAUUUUUGUAACAAAGAUGUUCCCGAAAUUGAUGAAUCAGUUGAAAAUUCAUUGAAAGCUUCCUUACUAAGAGAAUGUAAUGAUUGGGGAUCGAUCUGCGAAAAAUGGAAAAGAUCCUUUAACAUACGGCAAAGAGAUAUAAAAAAUUUAAGUAGCCAUACAUUUCUCCUUGAAUGGACGAAGUUGUCCGAUGCAAGAGCUUCAGAAUUGGUAAGUAGCCAUGAGCUAUUUAUUUGUAUAUGGAUACUAAUGUUUCGUUUUAGGUCAACAUUGAUUUCGAUAUUAUGUAUCCACAGAAAGGCAAUCUUCUACUUUCUAAAUGGGACCAAUUUAAGAAAAAAAUUUACAAUUAUUAUGGGAAAAAUAUUCAUAACGAACAUUGCAAACAACUCUUCGCAAAUGUUUUGACGGCAAGCAGCAUAGAUGCUCAAGAUUAUAUAUACGCAAUACUGUUGAAUUCAGUUUUACCAUCACCUGCUAGGUUUAAAUGUGGAAACGGUAAAUUACGAAAAAAAGUAACAAUAGCUGAUUCGCAGGAAAGUUUCGUACUGCGACUACCGACAAUUAACGAUUAUAAAAGGCAAAUUGAUACAGUCACUGAAAAGUAUUACAAUGCUGGAUUAACUAUACAGCCAUUUAUAAUUGUGGAGGGUUUGUCCGAUUUCAAUAUAAAAGGUUUUUAUGUUUUUUUAACCACAAUUUGUUAAAAUUUCAAUCGUUCCUCGAAUGUUUAGAUACAUGUUUUAAAAUUUUUCAUGCACUUUCUUUAAAAUAUCCAAAUGCCUGCCAAAUUCCAUGGAUUUUUAUCCAAAAAUAUUUUUAUGAAAUUAAUACUGUAUAUGAUAUAAAAUCAGUUAAUUUGACUUCACUUAUUAAUUUCUGCAACAAUAAUUAAAGUACAAUUCAAAAUGUAUAUUUGCUUUCGUUGCCGUAAGCAUUUUGAUAAGGCAAAUCUUUUAAUAGCUCAUUUGAAAACAGACCAUUUAAUGUCCACUAAAUUUUUAAAAGUACAAUGCGUUCAGGACAACUGUAAGCAAACAUUUACAAAAUUUACGUCAUUCAGAAUUCAUUUAGAAAAACUUCACAAGAAUCACACAAAAGCUCCACCAAUGGUUAAAGCCAUUAAUG